rnacentral:rRNA from 1 species
UACGUAGGGUGCGAGCGUUAAUCGGAAUUACUGGGCGUAAAGCGUGCGCAGGCGGUUCGUUAUGUCCGAUGUGAAAGCCCCGAGCUCAACUUGGGAAUGGCUUGGAAACUGGCGGGCUGGAGUGUGGCAGAGGGGGGUGGAAUUCCACGUGUAGCAGUGAAAUGCGUAGAGAUGUGGAGGAACACCGAUGGCGAAGGCAGCCCCCUGGGCCAACACUGACGCUCAGGCACGAAAGCGUGGGGAGCAAACAGG